rnacentral:rRNA from 1 species
UACGGAGGGUGCUAGCGUUGUUCGGAAUUACUGGGCGUAAAGGGCGCGUAGGCGGCCGUUUGCGUCGGAUGUGAAAGCCCGGGGCUCAACCUCGGAACGGCGUUCGAUACGGGACGGCUAGAGACCGGGAGAGGAGAGUGGAAUAGCCAGUGUAGAGGUGAAAUUCGUAGAUAUUGGCUGGAACACCGGUGGCGAAAGCGGCUCUCUGGCCCGGUUCUGACGCUGAGGCGCGAAAGCGUGGGGAGCAAACAGG